rnacentral:misc_RNA from 1 species
GAAAUGCGAUAAGUAAUGUGAAUUGCAGAAUUCAGUGAAUCAUCGAAUCUUUGAACGCACCUUGCGCUCCUUGGUAUUCCUUGGAGCAUGCCUGUUUGAGUAUCAUGAAAUCUUCAAAGUAAAUCUUUUGUUAACUCAAUUGGUUUCUACUUUGGUAUUGGAGGUCUUUGCAGCUUCACACCUGCUCCUCUUUGUUCAUUAGCUGGAUCUCAGUGUUAUGCUUGGUUCCACUCGGCGUGAUAAGUUAUCUAUCGCUGAGGACACUGUAAAAGGUGGCCAAGGUAAAUGCAGAUGAACCGCUUCUAAUAGUCCAUUGACUUGGACAAUACUUUUAUGAUCUGAUCUAGAAUCAGGUAGGACUACCCGCUGAACUUAAGC